ACAACAUGAUGGGAACACUUUCUAAUCAAGUCCUUAAGUCUUUCCCAGGUCUCAUGAAAUUUCUCACCAUUAAUUUGCAAAAAGCUAGUGAUGCCUCGCCUAAUUUG